AUUGAACGCUGGCGGCAUGCUUUACACAUGCAAGUCGAACGGUAACAGGCCGCAAGGUGCUGACGAGUGGCGAACGGGUGAGUAAUGCAUCGGAACGUGCCCAGUCGUGGGGGAUAACGCAGCGAAAGCUGCGCUAAUACCGCAUACGAUCUGUGGAUGAAAGCGGGGGACCGUAAGGCCUCGCGCGAUUGGAGCGGCCGAUGUCAGAUUAGGUAGUUGGUGGGGUAAAGGCUCACCAAGCCAACGAUCUGUAGCUGGUCUGAGAGGACGACCAGCGACACUGGGACUGAGACACGGCCCAGACUCCUACGGGAGGCAGCAGUGGGGAAUUUUGGACAAUGGGCGCAAGCCUGAUCCAGCAAUGCCGCGUGCAGGAAGAAGGCCUUCGGGUUGUAAACUGCUUUUGUACGGAACGAAACGGUCCUGGUUAAUACCCGGGGCUAAUGACGGUACCGUAAGAAUAAGCACCGGCUAACUACGUGCCAGCCGCCGCCGUAAGAC
rnacentral:rRNA from 1 species